rnacentral:rRNA from 1 species
GACGAACGCUGGCGGCGUGGAUUAGGCAUGCAAGUCGAACGGUAUCAUCCUUUCGGGGGUGAGAGAGUGGCGAACUGGUGAGUAACACGUAGGUUAUCUACCCUCAAGACGGGGACAACCCAGGGAAACUUGGGCUAAUACCGGAUGUGAGCAACUUUUAGUUGUUUGAAGGUGGCGUAAGCUGUCGCUUGGGGAUGAGCCUGCGUCCUAUUAGUUAGUUGGUGAGGUAACGGCUCACCUAGGCAAUGAUAGGUAGGCGGCCUUAACGGGUGGUCGCCCACACUGGGAUUGAGAUACGGCCCAGACUCCUACGGGAGGCAGCAGUCGAGAAUAGUCUACAAUGGUCGGAAGACUGAUAGUGCGACGCCGCGUGAACGAUGAAUCCCUUCGGGGUGUAAAGUUCUUUUAUAUGUGAGCAGUGCUUCUUAUAUUAACAGUAUGGGGAGAGAGAUAUUAGCAUAUGAAUAAGCAACGGCUAACUCCGUGCCCAGCAGCCGCGGUAAAAUCG